GACGAACGCUGGCGGCGUGCUUAACACAUGCAAGUCGAACGGAAAGGCCCUGCUUUUGUGGGGUGCUCGAGUGGCGAACGGGUGAGUAACACGUGAGUAACCUGCCCUUGACUUUGGGAUAACUUCAGGAAACUGGGGCUAAUACCGGAUAGGAGAUCCUGCUGCAUGGUGGGGGAUGGAAAGUUUCGGCGGUUGGGGAUGGAUUCGCGGGUUAUCAGCUUGUUGGUGGGGUAGUGGCUUACCACGGCUUUGACGGGUAGCCGGCCUGUGAGGGUGACCGGGCCCAUGGGGACUGAGGUAGGGCCCAGACGGCAACGUGAGGCAGCGGUGGAAAAUAUUGCACAAUAGGCCGAAGCCUGAGACAACGACGCCGGGUGCGGGAAGACGGCUUGUGGGGUAAAAACCGCUUUCGCCUGUGACGAAGCGGGAGUGACGGUAAUGAGUAAAAAAGCACCGGCUAACUACGUG
rnacentral:rRNA from 1 species